UUUUUUCUUCAGUUUGCAGAAUUUUAUGUGGUGGAGGGAAUACGGAUCUUUCGACUCUUAUUCAGCAGUAUUGCUUCUCUUGUGGUUGUGAAAUGAAAUUUGUUCGGCUUAGACAGACUUGUCUGGGAAUAGGAUCCUUGGUUCUUUUUCUGCAUCAGGUAUUCAUUGGAGAUUGUUCAAUGCAUGGUACCGUAAGAGUUUGAUGAACCAUACUAGUUCCACAUCUAAUCAUUAGG
rnacentral:misc_RNA from 1 species